GAUCCUGGCUUAGGACGAACGCUGGCGGCGUGCUUCAUACAUGCAAGUCGAACGAGAAUCUUACUUCGGUAAGGGGAAAGUGGCGGACGGGUGAGUAAUAUGUAGAGAAUCUGCCCUUAAGCGGGGGACAACAGUUGGAAACGACUGCUAAUACCCCAUAUGAGCGUACCUGAAAUGGUAUUCUUGAAAACUCCGGUGCUUAAGGAUGAGUCUGCAUCUGAUUAGCUAGUUGGGGGUGUAAUGGACCACCAAGGCGACGAUCAGUAGCUGGUUUGAGAGGAUGAUCAGCCACAAUGGGACUGAGACACGGCCCAUACUCCUACGGGAGGCAGCAGUAGGGAAUUUUGCGCAAUGGGCGAAAGCCUGAACCGCAGCAACGCCGCGUGAACGAGAAGCCCUUCGGGGUGUAAAGUUCUGUCAGUAGGGACGAACAAUGACUGUACCUACAGAGGAAGCACCGGCUAACUCCGUGCCAGCCGCCGC
rnacentral:rRNA from 1 species